GUGGGAGGGGGCUUGCCCCCGAUAGCGAUCUAUCAGUUACAGAUACUGAGACUGGCACACUGCAAUCGGGGGCAAGCCCCCUCCCAC
rnacentral:misc_RNA from 1 species